rnacentral:ncRNA from 1 species
UGUCGGGUCUGUGGUUGAAAGUCGAUGCCAGUCGCAGGCAAAACGAUCCACAUAAGCGGAUGCAAAGCCAUCCGUGAGCAUGGUGCGGCUUAGAUGUAAGUCCGUCCGGGCAUAAGCCCGAGAGAAGCAGUAGUGGGCGGCGUAAUUGCCUAGUAGCGAGCCUUCCAGGCGGCGGGUGUGGGGUCAAAGACCAGGUCAGCCGAG